rnacentral:lncRNA from 1 species
AGCCCCCAAAAGUCGGAAGCUACUGAAGAACUACAAUCUGCUAACCGAAAUGCUGUAGCCAUGCAGACCAGCUCUACCAAACCCAAGUGUAGCCCACGUACUCUGUUGAGAAGCGACAGCAUUUGCGCUUCAACAUCUGUGGGACUAAUUGGAAAUGAUCGCCAGGUACAUGCUCUCUGAUCAAUAUUGGGAUCCUAUUUGCACAUCUUGGAGGGUAUCUACUGGAGGUUGGUUCAGAAAGCAUGAAUUUAUUCAGCUAACAAACUGCUGGAGGUUUUAGCAUAGGUUACUACUUGGUAUGUUCC